UACGGAGGGGGCGAGCGUUAUUCGGAAUUAUUGGGCGUAAAGGGCGCGUAGGCGGCUUGGCAAGUCAAAGGUGAAAUCCCUCGGCUCAACUGAGGAACUGCCUUUGAAACUGCCUGGCUUGAGGCCGGGAGGGGGUAGCGGAAUUCCCAGUGUAGCGGUGAAAUGCGUAGAGAUGUGGAGGAACACCGAUGGCGAAGGCAGCCUUCUGGGCCAACACUGACGCUCAUGCACGAAAGCGUGGGGAGCAAACAGG
rnacentral:rRNA from 1 species